rnacentral:snRNA from 1 species
UUCACCUUAGUAGAUAGGCCGAU